rnacentral:rRNA from 1 species
GUUGGCCCGAGCGCGUCUUGUGGAGCCUGCCGCGUGAGCGAUGAGGUUCUUCGGAUCUUAAAGCUCUGUUGUGAGGGAAGAACAAGUACGGGAGUAACUGCCCGUGCCUUGACGGUACCUUAUUAGAAAGCCACGGCUAACUACGUGCCAGCAGCCGCGGUAAUA